AACGAACGCUGGCGGCAUGCCUAACACAUGCAAGUCGAACGAGACCUUCGGGUCUAGUGGCGCACGGGUGCGUAACGCGUGGGAACCUGCCCUUAGGUUCGGAAUAACUCCCCGAAAGGGGUGCUAAUACCGGAUAAUGUCUUCGGACCAAAGAUUUAUCGCCUUUGGAUGGGCCCGCGUUGGAUUAGCUAGUUGGUAGGGUAAAAGCCUACCAAGGCGACGAUCCAUAGCUGGUCUGAGAGGAUGAUCAGCCACACUGGGACUGAGACACGGCCCAGACUCCUACGGGAGGCAGCAGUGGGGAAUAUUGGACAAUGGGCGAAGGCCUGAUCCAGCAAUGCCGCGUGAGUGAUGAAGGCCUUAGGGUUGUAAAGCUCCUUUACCCGGGAUGAUAAUGACAGUACCGGGAGAAUAAGCUCCGGCUAACUCCGUG
rnacentral:rRNA from 1 species